rnacentral:SRP_RNA from 2 species
AUUAUUUCUGCUAAUAAGGUCUGACAGAUGUUUUUAAGGUCGGACCAUGGCAGGUUGGGUCUUACGCAAUGGAGACUCAUGAACCCCGUCAGGUCCGGAAGGAAGCAGCGGUAAGUGACAAUCUUCAUGUGCCGUGAGGGUGCCUGAUUUGCCGUGGCCCGACGUUAAAAACAUAAAUAAU